GUUCUUAUAGUUGAAUGACAACAGUGGUUUUUCAAGUCGCUAGUCCUGGUUAAAGUCCGGGUGAGAAUU
rnacentral:tRNA from 1 species